rnacentral:rRNA from 1 species
AUGUCUCUCCCAAAUAAUGCUGCCCCUAUUACUAUUGUGCCUCAUGAAAAUAUAAUUGUGGAAGAUAAUGAUACUUCGUAUGAUCUUGAAAAUCUUUUUGGCACUUGCUUGGAAGAAUAUGAUAAUUGCUAUACUAUUGGUGCUAUCCAUACUAUUAAUUAUGAGAGUGAUUAUGCUUACGAUAUGAAAAGGCCCAAGCUUGGGGAUGCUAUGUUUGAUGAAGAUGAUCUUUUUGAGAAUAUAUUUGUUGCAAUUAAUGUUUGUCCUAAGCUUGGGGAUGCUACGCUUAAUGAAGAUGGUAUUUUUAGUCUCCCAAGUUUUGAUAUGCAAAUUUAUAAUGAUGAUAGCAUGCCUCCUACCUAUGAUGAUUAUUGUGAUGAUACUUAUGUUAUAAAAAGUAGUGAUUAUAUUUAUAAAACUUUGUCAUGA